rnacentral:rRNA from 2 species
GGGAAGUCCUGUGUGAAGCUGGGAGGACCACCUCCCAAGGCUAAAUACUAACUGGUGACCGAUAGUGCACUAGUACCGUGAGGGAAAGGUGAAAAGUACCCCGGGAGGGGAGUGAAAUAGUACCUGAAACCGUAUACCUACAAGCAGUGGAAGCCUGAUGCUCUCAACUUUAGUUGAGAGCUGGGUGACCGCGUGCCUUUUGUAGAAUGAGCCGGCGAGUUACGCUAACCAGCCAGGUUAAGCAGCUGCUGCUGCGGAGCCGUAGCGAAAGCGAGUCUGAAUAGGGCGUCUUAGUUGGUUGGUGUAGACCCGAAACCGGGUGAUCUAUCCAUGGCCAGGGUGAAGCCUGUCUAACCGCAGGUGGAGGCCCGCACCCACUAAUGUUGAAAAAUUAGGGGAUGAGCUGUGGAUAGGGGUGAAAGGCCAAUCAAACCCGGCGAUAGCUGGUUCUCCUCGAAAUAGCUUGAGGGCUAGCCUCAAACGUUGUCCCAGGGAGGUAGAGCACUGAAUGGACUAAGGGCCCUACCAGGUUACUGAACCCAAUCAAACUCCGAAUACCCUGGGUACUAGUUUGGGAGUCAGACUGCGGGGGAUAAGCUCCGUAGUCAAAAGGGAAACAACCCAGACCAUAAGCUAAGGUCCCCAAGUGCAGACUAAGUGGUAAAGGAAGUUGAAUUACCCAGACAGCCAGGAUGUUGGCUCAGAGGCAGCCAUCAUUUAAAAAGUGCGUAACAGCUUACUGGUUAAGUGAUUCUGCACCGAAAAAUGUACGGGGCUAAGUCUGCCACCGAAGCUGUGGAUACAGAGGUCAGUGACCUCUGUCUGGUAGAGGAGCGUUCCCUUGAGGUAGAAGGGUUACCGAAAGGAGGCCUGGACUUAAGGGAAGUGAGAAUGCCGGCAUGAGUAACGAGAAGGCAAGUGAGAAUCUUGCCCGCCGAAAACCUAAGGUUUCCUGGGGAAGGUAAGUCCGCCCAGGGUUAGUCGGGCCCUAAGCCGAGGCCGAAAGGCGUAGGCGAUGGAUAACCGGUUAAUAUUCCGGUACUACCAACUGAUCGCUAUGGAGUGAUGGGGUGACCCAGGAGGGUAGGUCAGCACGAUAAAAGUUCCGUGUCCAAGCCCCCAGAGGGAAGAGACAGGCAAAUCCGUCUCUUUGUUAACCUCCAGAGGUGAUGGGGAGCUGCUACGGCGGCGAACUGAUUGAGCCCACACUGGCCAGAAAAACCUCUAACCAGAUCAGCUGGUAUCCGUACUAAAACCGACACAGGUAGGUAGGUAGAGCAUACCGAGGCGCUCGAGAGAACCCUCGUUAAGGAACUCGGCAAAAUGACUCCGUAACUUCGGGAGAAGGAGUGCCUCCUUAGGGUGAGUUGUUUUACAUAACAAGCCCGAAGAGGCUGCAAUAAAACGGCCCAAGCGACUGUUUACUAAAAACACAGGUCUCUGCAAAAUCGUAAGAUGAGGUAUAGGGACUGACGCCUGCCCGGUGCUGGAAGGUUAAGGAAGGGAGUUACCUGACUCGCAAGGGUCAGGAAAGCUUCUGACCAAAGCCCCAGUAAACGGCGGCCGUAACUAUAACGGUCCUAAGGUAGCGAAAUUCCUUGUCGGGUAAGUUCCGACCCGCACGAAUGGCGUAACGAUUUGGGCACUGUCUCAACGAGGGACUCGGUGAAAUUGUAAUGCAAGUGAAGAUGCUUGCUACCCGCGACAGGACGGAAAGACCCCGUGAACCUUUACUAUAGCCUGAUAUUGAAUUUUAGCAUUCCCUGUGUAGGAUAGGUGGGAGGCACUGAACAGGAGGCGCCAGCCUUCUGGGAGCCAACCUUGAAAUACCACCCUCGGUCUGUUGAGAUUCUAACCCCAAGCCGUUAGCCGGCUGGGGGACCGUAUUUGGUGGGUAGUUUGACUGGGGCGGUCACCUCCUAAAGAGUAACGGAGGUGUCCCAAGGUCUCCUCAGUGUGUUUGGAAAUCACACUAAAGAGUGUAAGGGCAUAAGGAGGCUUGACUGUGAGAGAGACAUCUCGAGCAGAUGCGAAAGCAGGGCCUAGUGAUCCGGCGGUAGCUGGUGGAUGUGCCGUCGCUCAUCGGACAAAAGGUACUCCGGGGAUAACAGGCUGAUCUCCCCCAAGAGUCCACAUCGACGGGGAGGUUUGGCACCUCGAUGUCGGCUCGUCGCAUCCUGGGGCUGAAGCAGGUCCCAAGGGUUUGGCUGUUCGCCAAUUAAAGCGGUACGCGAGCUGGGUUUAGAACGUCGUGAGACAGUUCGGUCCCUAUCCGUCGCGGGCGUGGGAUACUUGAGAGGGUCUGCCUCUAGUACGAGAGGACCGAGGUGGACGAACCGCUGGUGUACCAGUUGUCCUGCUCAGGGCAUUGCUGGGUAGCUAUGUUCGGUUGGGAGAAACGCUGAAAGCAUCUAAGCGUGAAACCCGCCUCAAGAUGAGGUAUCCAUCUGGCUUGAAGCCAGGAGAGAUCCCGGGAAGAAGACCCGGUUGAUAGGUCAGCUGUGGAAG